rnacentral:rRNA from 1 species
AGGGAAGGCUGGCGGCAGGCCUAACACAUGGAAGUCGAACGGUAACAGAAAGCAGCUUGCUGCUUUGCUGACGAGUGGCGGACGGGUGAGUAAUGUCUGGGAAACUGCCUGAUGGAGGGGGAUAACUACUGGAAACGGUAGCUAAUACCGCAUAACGUCGCAAGACCAAAGAGGGGGACCUUCGGGCCUCUUGCCAUCGGAUGUGCCCAGAUGGGAUUAGCUAGUAGGUGGGGUAAAGGCUCACCUAGGCGACGAUCCCUAGCUGGUCUGAGAGGAUGACCAGCCACACUGGAACUGAGACACGGUCCAGACUCCUACGGGAGGCAGCAGUGGGGAAUAUUGCACAAUGGGCGCAAGCCUGAUGCAGCCAUGCCGCGUGUAUGAAGAAGGCCUUCGGGUUGUAAAGUACUUUCAGCGGGGAGGAAGGGAGUAAAGUUAAUACCUUUGCUCAUUGACGUUACCCGCAGAAGAAGCACCGGCUAACUCCGUG